GCGCCAGUAGUGCAACGGGUUAGAGCGUGCGCUCCCGGUAAGAGUGAAAUGCGGGUUCGAUUCCCGGCUGACGCG